GAAAUGCGAUAAGUAAUGUGAAUUGCAGAAUUCAGUGAAUCAUCGAAUCUUUGAACACACAUUGCGCCCGUCAGCAUUCUGGCGGGCAUGCCUGUUCGAGCGUCAUUUCAACCCUCAGGACCCCCCUUUCGCGGGGAGGGACCUGGCGUUGGGGAUCGGCCCGCCCCCCGCGGCGGCGCCGUCCCCGAAAUCUAGUGGCGGUCUCGCUGCAGCCUCCCCUGCGUAGUAGUUACAACCUCGCAUCGGAGCGCGGCGCGGCCACGCCGUAAAACCCCCGACUUUCUGAACGUUGACCUCGGAUCAGGUAGGAAUACCCGCUGAACUUAAGC
rnacentral:misc_RNA from 1 species